rnacentral:lncRNA from 1 species
UUUUUAUUGAGACCAAUUUGGCCUGGGGAGAACCGCCUUCAGGCGUUUGGACUCAGUGGAGGUUGUGAGUGCCCAGCAGUGUGGCCUGAAUCUCCGUGGGGUUUAGGGAGACGAAAGGACCCCAGAUCGACGUCCCCUCGUUCCCACUUUGGGGAUCGGCGCUCUGGCUGUUUCGUGAAGGAGAGAGAGGUUGAUUCCAUACCCUGGCUAUUGUGAAUAAUGCUGCAGUGAACAUGGGAGUACAUACAUCUGUUUGAGGAACUCAGAGUGGUUUUCCAGAUGGGAAUCACAUUGCUCUCUGUCCCUGAGAUCUUGCUGGAGACAGGGCUACUCAGUCCCUCUUUGCCAGAUUGAUACUGGAAAAGCAGUUUCUAUUGAGCCCCCAAAUGAAGAGUGAGUGCAGAUGAAGAGGAGGCAGGACUCACAAGCCCUUGAACUUUAUUCCAGAUCUGUUAGCACCUACAGGACCCUGCACCAGGAUUUCAUCUGUACUAUCAGCUUCUUCAAAGAGAGAGAGGUUGUUGAAUUGAUAUUGGAAAAGCAGUUUCCCAUUGAGUCUCAAAUGAAGAGAGUGCAGAUGAAGAGGAGCUCUUCAUGUGGAUGUCUGAGCUCAUAUCAGGUGUCUGAAAGAGGCAGAUUCUGAGGAUUUGGGUCAUGAUGGCUGCCAAAGCUUCUACUCCUGACUUAAAGGGCAACAAUCCUAGGAGACCACCAGCACUUACAUCCCUGGUAGGACAUGACACCUGCUUAUGGCUCAGAAGUGACAAAAGAGAAUUAUCAGGAUGGCAGUCCUUAUAACCAGAUGCUUAUCAACAUUCUUCACUACAUUCUGAAGAUGAAUUUCUACAAGGGAAAUUGUUUAUAUUUGUUGUUGGGGAUAGAUAAGGAAAGAAGAAAAAGGCUCUGGUGAGAAACCCAUUGUACCUUCUGGAUAUGAUCACUACCCAAUUUUAUCAGUGUCAUUGAUCACUAACCCAGUGCCUCGUAUGGUGCCAGGCACAGAGUUACUCCAAGAAUGUACAAUAAUGGCUGGAUUCUCUUUCUCCCUGUGCAACUCUUCAUGCAUGUGACUGAACUUAUAUUAAGUGUCUGAAGGAGGUUCGUUCUGAGGAUCUGGGACAUGAUGGGUGCUGAAGCUUCUACUCAAGAUUUGAAGGGCAGCUGUCCUCAGGAGACCCCUGGCACUUCCCUCCAUGGUGGGAUGUGAUGCCUGAUUCCAGUGAGUUCAUAGAGCUGAACAAAAGUACGUUGUGGAAUAGCUCCUGUGAGGUUCACAACAUAGUCCGGAAGAUGAGAAACUACUUUUUUUAGUAACCUGGAUUCCCAUCUAAGAGAUGCCUUACUUUAUCGUAAAGCAAUGAGUUGUUCACUUGAGGAGGGAACUUCAUGUUUAACAUGUAUUUGCAACAAAUUUACAUACAUUUUCUGCCUGUAUGAAUAGUUGUCAGUGAUGCCCAUGAAUUUCUCAGAUGGAUGUUGAAGUAUACAGUUAGAAGGUUAGAAGAUCUUCCUAGCAAUCUGUGAUUACGGUAUGCAUUCUUCCAUGGUUUCUACGUUUUUGUCUAUUCUAUAAUGAAAUUUUCUAAGAAGCCAGAAAUUAAUUAAGUGCUACCUAAAAAUAUCAAAAUGUCAGGUACAAGAAUUUGGCAUUUUCAAAAUUAGUAAUUACAAUGUAAGUUUGCCCUAUUAUAAUGAUACCCAGCUAUGUCCAGUAACAUAACUAGAUUGUUCUGAAUACCGUUAUUAUUUCCCAAUAAUACAAACAUCACAAUUUCAGUUCUGUAGUACCUGGCCUACCUACCCUUCCCACUGCCUUGCCCCAGGUAAACACAGCAUGCCUGUCACUAUACAUUAUUUUACAUGCCUGGAAAUAUAUUUAAAUGGAAUCAUAGAGGUGGUUUCUUUUUUUUUUUUUUAUCAACACCUGGCUUUUUUCAUUCACUCCACUUAUUUUUAUAUUUAUCCAUUUUAUUGCAUUUAUCUAUUGAUAUACUUCAUUCUUUUUGAUUGCUAAAUACUAUUGCGGUAUACAACCACACUAAACAUUUUAUUAUCCAUCCAUUUGUCGAUGGACAUUUUGGUUGUUUCUCAUUUGGGGCUCUUGUAAAUAAAGCUGCUAUGAACAUUUGUGAAUAAGUCUUUUUGUGAAAAUAUGCAUUCUCAUUCAAGGGUCAAUACUUAGGAGUUCAAUCUCUGGAUCAUGUGGUAGAGGUAAGAUUAACAUUGUAAGAAAUGGCCAAACUGUUUUCAAAGUGGUUGUACCAUUUUUCAUUCCAAUGAGCAGCGUAUGAGGGUUUCAGCUUCCAGAAAAUUGCCAGUGAUUGGUAUGGUCAGUCUUUUAAAUUUUGAUCAUUCUUCUGGAAUGUAAUAGUAUCUCACUGUACUUUUCAUUUUCUUUCCCUAAUUAUUAAUGAUGUUGAAUAUCUUUUCAUAUGCUUAUUUGACAUCUGUAUAUUUUCUAUAGUGGAGUGUCUUUUCAACUCUUCUGUCCAUUUAUUUAUUGGAGUGUCUGUUUUUUCCUUAAGGAGCUUUGUGAGAUUUUCUGUAUUCUGGAUAUAAGCCUUUUACCAGAUAAAUGGUUUCCAAACAUUUUCUUCCAGACAAGGGCUUGUCAACAGUAUCUUUGGAAGAACAAAGUUUUUAACUUUUGGGAAGUCUAAUUUAUUGAUUUCUUCACCUACAGAUUGUAGUUUUGUCUCACUAAUGAAGUCUUUACCUAACCCAAAGUCACAAGGAUUUUCUCCUGUAUUUUCUGGUAGAAGUCUUAUAGUUUUAGGUUUUAUAUGUAUAUCUAUGAUCCACUUUGAGUUGACUUUUGUAUAUAGUAUGAUAUUUGGAUCACUGUUUGUAUUUGUGAAUAUAGAUAACCACUUCUCCCAGCACAAUUUGUUGAAAAGAGUAUCUUUGCUCCACUGAAUUGCCUUUGCAUCUUUGUCAAAAAAACAGUUAUCCAUGUAGGUUUGGUCGGUUUUGGAUUCCUUAUUCUAUUCCUUUGAUCUGCUUUUCUACCUUGAUGCCAACAGCACAGUCUUGAUUACUGUAGAUUUGUAAAGAGUCUUGAAGUCAGGUAGUGUUUGUUCUCUGACUUUGACCUUUUAUUCAAAGUUGUUUUUAUCAGCUAGAUCCAUUAAAUUUUCACAUGAAUUUUAGAAUCAGCCUAUCAAUUCCCUUUUUAAAACUUUGGUAAAAUUUUUUAUUCAGUUUGCAUUAAAUUUAUAGAUGAGAUCGGGGAGAAUUAAUAUCUUAACAAUACUGAGUCUUCUCAUCCAUGAACACAGUAUAUUCCCCAUUUAUUUAAGUCUCCUUUAAUCCUCUCAGCAAUGUUUUGUAAUGUUCAGUAUGCAGGUGUUAUACAAUUGUGGACAGAUUAUCCAUAAAUAUUUCAUACUUUUUGAAGCUACUGUAAAUGGCAUUAUUUUUAAAUACAAUGCCUAAUUACUAUAUUUUCUCUGAAUUAUUAUAUUUUCUCAGCAGCCAAAUAAUAAUAGCUCA